rnacentral:tRNA from 1 species
GGGGCUGUAGCUCAGUUGGGAGAGCGCGGCGUUCGCAACGCCGAGGCCGUCGGUUCGAUCCCGAUCAGCUCCA